rnacentral:rRNA from 1 species
UUGAUCUCAAAUCAGGUAGGACUACCCGCUGAACUUAAGCAUAUCAAUAAGCGGAGGAAAAGAAACUAACAAGGAUUCCCCUAGUAACUGCGAGUGAAGCGGGAAGAGCUCAAAUUUAAAAUCUGGCGUGCCUCUGGCCGUCCGAGUUGUAGUCUGGAGAAGCGUCUUCCGUGUUGGACCGUGUAUAAGUCUCUUGGAACAGGGCGUCAUAGAGGGUGAGAAUCCCGUCUUUGACACGGACUACCAAUGCUUUGUGAUGCGCUCUCAAAGAGUCGAGUUGUUUGGGAAUGCAGCUCAAAAUGGGUGGUAAAUUCCAUCUAAAGCUAAAUAUAGGCGAGAGACCGAUAGCGAACAAGUACCGUGAGGGAAAGAUGAAAAGCACUUUUGGAAAGAGAGUUAACAGUACGUGAAAUGCUGAAGGGA